GAACCUUGACCACUGCACCCAGUCCGACAGAAGCACCCGCCGCCUGCGGACGUGCUCACCGACCACUCAAUCGCCCGGCCAUUGUUCGCCUGGUUUUAUUGUUAGCCCGGCCUUUGUUCACCCGGCUUUUGUUCGUGGCACAUCUGCCGACAAAGUGUGUUCCUGGAAGUGUUUGUUUUGUUUUGGUUUAUUUUGUUGUUUCCUUUUUUUUUUUUUUGUUCUUUCUUUUUCCUGCAGUAAUUGUGCCGCAUCGCCACCUGUGUUCAAUCGAACCGCUAAGUACCGAGAAGUUGGGGCCUCGCCGCAAGGCGAGUGUGUUUAAGACCCGGGACAGCCCCACCUGGGUCAGACAUCAUGGAAGCUUUAUUUUCAGAAUUCCUCCGACUUCGCCACCCAAAGCUCACUUCUGAGUUUCUGGCUUUCAAGGCCGAUCACGCCGUGAGCCCUCUCGCGGAUUCCGCCGUGCUCGUCGCUCCCGCGUCGUACACCGCAGCGUCCGCCAUGCCUGCCACUCCCGCGUCGCCUAUACUAGUGGGUAAAACUGCUGCGUCGUCCGCCGUGGCCGCUGCUCCCCUGGCGCGAUCAUCCGCGGGUUCCGUAGGGUCCGACGGACGUCCUGCAUCUGCCCGUAGGUCGCCUGCUCCCGAGCCUGCUGCCUUCUCGUCCUCCGACUCUGACUCAGACAUGGAGGUCGACCUCGCCCCCGCCUCAUCGACGGAUGGAUUCACCCUGGUACAAAAGGGUAAGAAGCGCGCUGCGGAGUCCCGAGCUCCCGCGGCCGCUAAAAUUAUUAAAGCCGCGAACGCGUCGCGCCCUCGCCCUCCGACUCCCGUCGCUCCCCCUGCCCGUGCCACACCGUCGCCGCGUCCAGUGGCACAAAAUAAAACUCAGACCCCUCCCCCGGUAAUCCUUCAAGAGAAGGCAGCUUGGGACCGAGUUUCCCUGGCCCUUCAGGCCAAAAAAAUUAAUUUUAUCAGCGCCCGUAACCUCGCGAACGGGAUUCAAAUUAAGUUAACGACACCCGAUGACCAUAGGGCCCUCUCAAGCUACCUCCGAAAGGAGCGUAUAAGUUUCCACACUUAUACGCUUCAGGAGGAGCGUGAACUUCGCGCGGUCAUACGCGGCAUCCCAAAGGAAUUAGAUGCCGAUCUCAUCAAGGCCGACCUUCUAGAACAAGGUUUGCCGGUCGAUUCCGUGCACCGCAUGCACACAGGACGCGGGAGGGAGCCAUACAAUAUGGUUCUCGUCGCUCUCCAGCCUACCCCCGAGGGCAAGCAAAUUUUCAACGUACGAACAGUCUGUAGGCUUUCCGGAAUAACCGUCGAAACCCCCCAUAAAAAAGGCACUCCGAGCCAGUGCCAUAACUGUCAGUUGUACGGGCACUCUUCCCGUAAUUGCCACGCGCGCUCCCGAUGCGUCAAGUGUUUGGGCGAUCACGCCACGAGCCUUUGCACUCGCGAUCAAAAAACCGCUACGGAACCGCCUAGCUGCGUCCUGUGCCGAACACAGGGCCACCCCGCGAAUUACCGUGGUUGCCCCCGAGCCCCUAAAAUAAAUCGCCGCGUCGCCCGCCAAAACCGCCUCCGAGCUUUCGGCCCAGACAUCAAAGCCACGGCACCCUCUGUGCCGAAGGCUAAGCCUGCUUUCGUGCCGGCGUCGGUGCCCAGCGUCUCGGCCUGGGCUAAACCGUUGCCGUUCACGAACACGGCUACAACUCUCUCCCCCGCGACUCGUCCCACCCCCGCGAUACGUCCCUCCCCCGCGACCUGCCCUCCGACCGCGUCCGACAAUCUCGCUCUAGCGAUCGACUUUUUUCAGUCGAUCAACUUUGAUCGCGUUAAUGCUUUGGGCGACGCCAUUCGCGCCGCCUCCACUGCACAACACUUCAUCGCCGUUGUGCAAGAAUACGCUGACGUAUACGCGUCGUUAAAUACGUACGUCCUCCCCUCACUCCGCCGGUAAUCAAUGGCGUACAUAAGUAGAAUCAAGCCCCUAUCCGUAACGAUAGGAUUUUUUAACGCUUACGGUCUCGCAAAUCAACGUGAUCAGGUUUGUGAUUUUUUGCGUGACCAUCAAAUUGACAUCUUUUUGGUGCAGGAGACCCUGCUUAAGCCCGCGCGCCGCGACCCUAAAAUAGCGAACUACAACAUGGUUAGGAACGACAGGCUCACUGCUCGUGGUGGUGGUACCGUCAUUUACUAUAGAAGAGCCCUGCAUUGCGUCCCACUCGACCCCCCCGCGCUUUCUAACAUCGAAGCAUCAGUAUGCCGAAUCUCACUGACUGGACACGCGCCGAUCGUUAUCGCGUCCGUUUAUCUUCCACCGGAUAAAAUUGUUCUAAGUAGUGAUAUUGAGGCGCUGCUCGCCAUGGGAAGCUCUGUCAUUCUGGCGGGUGACCUAAAUUGUAAACACGUCAGGUGGAACUCUCACACCUCAACCCCUAAUGGCAGGCGCCUCGACGCGUUAGUCGAUGAUCUCGCCUUCGAUAUCGUCGCUCCGCUGACCCCGACUCACUACCCGCUAAAUAUCGCGCAUCGCCCGGAUAUUCUCGACAUAGCGUUAUUAAAAAACGUAACUCUGCGCUUAAAUUCGAUUGAAGUAGUUUCAGAGUUAGAUUCAGACCAUCGUCCCGUCAUUAUGAAGCUCGGUCGCGCUCCCGAUUCCGUUCCCGUCACGAGGACUGUGGUGGAUUGGCACACGCUGGGCAUCAGCCUUGCUGAAUCUGAUCCACCAUCGCUUCCGUUUAGUCCGGACUCUAUCCCGUCUCCUCAGGAUACCGCUGAAGCCAUAGACAUCGUAACGUCACACAUCACCUCGACAUUAGAUAGGUCAUCGAAGCAAGUUGUAGCGGAGGACUUCCUUCACCGCUUCAAAUUGCCCGAUGAUAUUAGGGAACUCCUUAGAGCUAAGAACGCCUCGAUCCGUGCGUACGAUAGGUAUCCUACCGCGGAAAAUCGUAUUCGAAUGCGUGCCCUACAACGCGACGUAAAGUCUCGCAUCACCGAAGUCCGAGAUGCCAGAUGGUCUGAUUUCUUAGAAGGACUCGCGCCCUCUCAAAGGUCUUACUACCGCUUAGCUCGUACUCUCAAAUCGGAUACGGUGGUAACUAUGCCCCCUCUCGUAGGCCCCUCAGGCCGACUCGCGGCGUUCGAUGAUGACGAAAAAGCAGAGCUGCUGGCCGAUACAUUGCAAGCCCAGUGCAUGCCCAGCAUUCAAUCCGCGGACCCUGUUCAUGUAGAAUUAGUAGACAGUGAGGUAGAACGCAGAGCCUCCUUGCCACCCUUGGACGCGUUACUGCCCGUUACCUCAAUGGAAGUUAAAGACCUGAUCAAAGACCUACGUCCUCGCAAGGCUCCCGGUUCCGACGGUAUAUCUAACCGCGUUAUUAAACUUUUACCCGUCCAACUCAUCGUGAUGUUGGCAUCUAUUUUCAAUGCCGCUAUGGCUAACUGUAUCUUUCCCACGGUGUGGAAAGAAGCGGACGUUAUCGGCAUACACAAACCCGGUAAACCAAAAAAUCAUCCGACGAGUUAUCGCCCGAUUAGCCUCCUCAUGUCUCUAGGCAAACUGUAUGAGCGUCUGCUCUACAAACGCCUCAGAGAUUUCGUCUCAUCCAAGGGCAUUCUCAUCGAUGAACAAUUCGGAUUCCGUGCAAAUCACUCAUGCGUACAACAGGUGCACCGCCUCACGGAGCACAUUCUUGUGGGGCUUAAUCGACCAAUACCGUUAUACACGGGAGCUCUCUUCUUCGACGUCGCAAAAGCGUUCGACAAAGUCUGGCACAACGGUUUGAUUUUCAAACUAUUCAACAUGGGCGUGCCGGAUAGUCUCGUGCUCAUCAUACGGGACUUCUUGUCGAACCGCUCUUUUCGAUAUCGAGUAGAGGGAACCCGCUCCUCCCCGCGACCACUCACGGCUGGAGUGCCGCAAGGCUCCGUUCUCUCACCGCUCCUAUUUAGUUUAUUUAUUAAUGAUAUUCCUCGGUCGCCGCCGACCCAUUUAGCUUUAUUCGCCGACGACACGACUGUUUACUAUUCUAGUAGAAAUAAGUCCCUAAUCGCGAAGAAGCUUCAGAGCGCAGCCCUAGCCCUAGGACAGUGGUUCCGAAAAUGGCGCAUAGACAUCAACCCGGCGAAAAGCACAGCAGUGUUAUUUCAAAGGGGAAACUCACCGCUUAUUUCCUCCCGCAUUAGGAGGAGAAAUAUCACUCCCCCGAUCACCCUCUUCGGCCAACCUAUACCCUGGGUCAGGAAGGUUAAGUACCUGGGAGUCACCCUGGAUGCAUCUAUGACAUUCCGCCCACACAUAAAAACAGUCCGCGACCGUGCCGCAUUCAUUCUCGGCAGACUCUAUCCCAUGAUCUGUAAGCGGAGUAAAAUGUCCCUUCGGAACAAGGUGACACUUUACAAAACUUGCAUAAGGCCCAUCAUGACUUACGCGAGUGUGGUGUUCGCUCACGCGGCCCGCACACACAUAGACACCCUCCAAUCCCUACAAUCCCGCUUUUGCAGGUUAGCCGUCGGGGCUCCGUGGUUCGUGAGGAACGUUGACCUACACGACGACCUGGGCCUUGAAUCAAUCCAGAAGUACAUGAAGUCAGCGUCGGAACGGUACUUCGAUAAGGCUAUGCGUCAUGAUAAUCGCCUUAUCGUUGCCGCCGCUGACUACUCACCGAAUCCUGAUCAUGCAGGAGCCAGUCACCGUCGACGCCCUAGACACGUCCUUACGGAUCCAUCAGAUCCAAUAACCUUUGCAUUAGAUGCCUUCAGCUCUAAUACUAGGAGCAGGCUUAGGGACCCCAGUAACCGUACUCGUCGAACUCGACAAAGAGGUCGACGUGCAACCUAGCCCAUGCAUCAGCCCGCUGAGUUUCUCGCCGGAUCUUCUCAGCGGGUCGCGAUUCCGAUCCGGUAGUAGAUUCAUUCGCGAAGCAAUUGCUCUUGAGUUGUUAGGUCUCCUUCGGAGGCGCUCGGGCAGCUGUUAGCAAAUCCCACCCCUUCUGGCUGAGCCUUUGCUCGCCCACCUGUCCUGGUGAAACUGGAAAGGCCUUCGGGCCACCAGUAAUCUCUCAAUCAUAAAAAAAAAAAAAAAACCACUGCACCAGAGGGCCCGGAUACGAUUCUAAGUCGUAUUCUAUAGCAAAUAAAAAAAUAUUUAUUGAGUAUUCGAAGUUUUAAUGUAAAUGCUGCCGUCUCGUAAAAUCAUAUUCAUUGUUUUGAUAAAAUGUGACAAGUUCAAAGUUUCCUGUGUCGUUAUCGCAUUACCGGCGUCACAACAGUACAGAAGUUAUUAAUUUACAGUGUUAGUAUCGUUGCGGAGUCGCUAACAUCACAUUUAUUCGCCAAACAACAUUUAUUGAAUUUUUCGUAACAGAAAUGCUUCAAUUAUGUUUCGUUAUAUUAAUCAUUAAUACUGUGAAUUCAAUUGGAAAAACUCAACAUGAAUUCGGCUUCUACCCUGGUCUAUGCUGAGCAAUAUGAACCUCGGUAUUGAGACUUACACGCCUUACGUGUACCAAUAUGCGGACACCGGAACUUGCAUCCAGAUAUCCGGUCUAGAGCAAAGUGAAUUAGUUGCUAUCAGUAUGAACAGCCAGUAUAAGGAAUACUCUAUUAUGCUAGAAAUGCCGUUUAAAAUACAACAAAUACUGAAUGGAACCGAACACUGCAAUGAACCUGAUCGUGAUUGCCGGUCCCCCUGAAAUUAAGCGGAAAAUGUGAGUUGUAUAGCAACUGUUUCACUCUUCAAGUCCGAACCCGCUUGGUUGAAUUUGCAGAAUGAUGCCAAUUCGCUUGCGAAUAAUAUGGCCCGCAACAAGUAACUAACAUGAUAGAACAGUUUAAUUUUUGUAAUAAAUCCAAAUGAUUAGAAGUAUCGGUGUUCCUGUACCUAUUUAAUGUAAACUCUUGGAAUGUUUGCAAAUUUAGCUAGCCAUAUGGAUACGAAAGUAGUCGAUGGUUGAUAGGAAACAAAAUAUAAAAAGUUUGUAAUUCAUGUGUGGCGAGGAGCACAUUCUCAUAAUAAAUACUACAGGGUUUGCACGAUGUACGGUCGACGGUAACUAAUUUACUGGUCAUCGUCGGCUUAUUACCUCCACUGCUGGAUAUAGACCACAAGACUCGCCACAAUGACUCAGUCGUGAAACUCUUUAACAAGCACGCGUUUAUAUUGUGUGUGCCAAAACACCAAACAAUAUACAAAGCAUGUAUAGCACGCUUUACCCCUGAUUUCGAAUGCUAUUUCACCAAAGUAGUAUCGGCAUUUCAAACUCAAGCCUCGUGUCUGAAGGAAACUGCCGGUUACCACGUAAUGUCUACGGGAUCAGCAAUCUACUGUACACCAUGUACAUCAUAAACCAGGUGGUUCAUGUACGCAAUAAACGAAACAAAAAUCUCCCAGAAACUUGAGCCAAUACUGGUAAAUUUACAAUGAUAUUAAAUGGAAAAACGGCUUUUGGUGAACAAAACUUUCUUUCCUCCUUCUAAACAGUUUUCAUUUUUAACAGUUUACAUAACGUAAUAUUGAAUAGUAAUCGAAAACGUAUUCCGGAUAAAAGUAAGCGGUUCCAAUAAAAAAAUUAUUUAUUCUUCGUUCUUAUUA